rnacentral:tRNA from 1 species
GGAGAGGUGGCAGAGUGGUCGAUCGCGGCGGUCUUGAAAACCGUUGACUGUCAUAGGUCCGGGGGUUCGAAUCCCUCCCUCUCCG